UGGACAAUUCAAUUCUUUUAGCAUUCAUUGCUGCCGUACUACUAUUUCACCCGUGAAAACUGACGGAUUCGAUGGGAACGUGACAAUGGAUGUGAAAUACUAACAAUUUAUGUAUUUUCUUACAUGAUAAUUUUUGUAUUUCUUGAUAUUUACUUACAUGGUUGGCUAAGAAAUAAUUUGAAAUAUACUACACAUCUACAUAAAAUAAGCCUACGAUUUUUUUUUCUUUUCUUGUUUUUACUUAUUGAAUACAUAUCUCAAUGCCUACACUUAAAAUUUACAUCCUCUAAUGAAAAAUGAUUAUUCAUAGUAUUGUUUACUGUAUUUGGGUGAAUUGCAAAUCGUUAGAGAAGUCCGUCAGACAACUGCCAGGCCAUCCAAGCUAGGACCAAGGGUCAUGCGUAGAACGAUCAUCUACUGCACAACGAGCCAGAGAACUGACCCAUGGUGCUGUUAAUCACAACUCUAGCCAGGCAGCCUGAGUUCAUCGUCCAGACAUGGCAGAUCCUGCUCAAGUAAGUAAAAGAUGAUUGAGUCAAAGGUAAAGUUGACGUGGUGUCGGAGGCUGAUUAAUGGAUGCUCAUGGGCCGACGGCGAGAUCGGUCGACCCGCUCGAUCCCAACUGGGUACAUCAAUGGGCAUUCCCCUAGUGAUUUGCUCGGUAGUCAUGUCUUCAUUGGCUCUUUUUUUGUCUUAGGUAGGGGCAGACUUAGAAAAACUUGGGUAGAGACUGUAUUUUUAAAUUUUAUUGAAAAAAUAUUUUUAAAUAAUUUAAUUUCUCUUAUAGAAA